rnacentral:tmRNA from 1 species
GGGGCUGACAUGGAAUUGACAGUGAGGUAAAGUGGUAAGUAAGCAUGCCGAGCGUUGUGAAGCUGGCUCGUAAAUCCCAGGGCUCAAACUUUUUAACUGGCGAAAACAAUUACGCUCUUGCUGCGUAACCGAAUAACAGUAGGUUAUGCUUAAUCCCGGUCCCAGGGACCGGGACGAGACAUCUUCCGGAUGCCGUCGUUUCGGGGCUAUCCGAUCAGAAGGUGCAGAUAAACCGAAACUAGCCUGAGGCCCGCUCCGUGCCUGAGGCGAAAUUUAGGAGAUAAGGAUUGGUUCGGGUGUCGCUACCCUCGCCUUUCCCGACAAUCAAGAAGCGACUAAGCAUGUAGAAAGCUUAUGGCUUCCUUGUCUGGACCGGGGUUCGAUUCCCCGCAGCUCCACCU